rnacentral:rRNA from 1 species
CUGGUUGAUCCUGCCAGUAGUUAUAUGCUUGUCUCAAAGAUUAAGCCAUGCAUGUCUGAGUACAGACCGAUCUAAGGUGAAACCGCGAAUGGCUCAUUAAAUCAGUCAUAAUUCCUUGGGUAGUGAAAAACUUUCCUCGGAUAACUGUGGAAAAUCCAGAGCUAAUACGUGCAACUGAGCUCCGACCUCGGCGUCAGCUGUGGGAAGAGCGCAUUUAUUAGAUUCAAAACUGACCGGUGUACUCCUUCGGGAUAUGCCGUUUGUCAAAUGUUUGAUGACUCCGGAUAACUAAGCCGAGCGCUACGGUCUUUAGUACCGGCGCCGUAUCUUUCAAGUGUCUGCCUUAUCAGCUUUCGAUUGUAGGUUAAACGCCUACAAUGGCUGUAACGGGUAACGGGGAAUCAGGGUUCGAUUCCGGAGAGGGAGCCUGAGAAACGGCUACCACAUCUAAGGAAGGCAGCAGGCACGCAAAUUACCCACUCCUAGCCCAGGGAGGUAGUGACGAAAAAUAACGAUGCGAGACUCUUCCGAGGCCUCGCAAUCGGAAUGAGUCUAUUAUAAAUUUAUGGACGAGGAUCCAUUGGAGGGCAAGUCUGGUGCCAGCAGCCGCGGUAAUUCCAGCUCCAAUAGCGUAUAUUAAAGUUGCUGCGGUUAAAAAGCUCGUAGUUGGACUUACUAGACCAUUUCGUGGGCGAGUCGCUCUUUGUACUAACGUUUCGUGCGGUUCCUAGAUGAAGUCGUGGUGCGUUAUCUCUCUUUCGGUUUCUAUCGAUUGGGAGGUUUCCCCGCGCACAGAAUCUUGUGAACGGCGAUUCGUUGUCAUAGGGUAUAGCUUGUCCGCGUUUGGUACAAUUAAAAUUUUGUCGGCUCGCUCGGAGUGCUCUUUACCGAGUGUUCCAGGGUGGCCGACACGUUCACUUUGAAAAAAUUAGAGUGCUUAAAGCGGGCCUUGCAAAGGGCCGGAAUGUCUGUGCAUGGAAUGAAGUAACAGGACCUCGAUUCUGUUGUUUUUUGUCGGUUUUAAUGAACCGAGGUAAUGAUUAAAAGGGACAGACGGUGGCAUUAGUAUUGAGACGCUAGAGGUGAAAUUCUUGGACCGUCUCAAGACUAACUACUGCGAAAGCAUUUGCCGAGAAUGUUUUCAUUAAUCAAGAACGAAAGUUAGAGGAUCGAAGGCGAUCAGAUACCGCCCUAGUUCUAACCCUAAACUAUGCUAACUAGCGAUCCGCCGGAGUCAUUCCCACGACCCGGCGGGAAGCCCCAGGGAAACCAAAGUCUUUGAGUUCCGGGGGAAGUAUGGUUGCAAAGCUGAAACUUAAAGGAAUUGACGGAAGGGCACCACCAGGAGUGGACCUGCGGCUUAAUUUGACUCAACACGGGAAACCUCACCAGGCCCGGACGUCAUAAGGAUUGACAGGUUGAGAGCUCUUUCUCGAUUUGAUGGGUGGUGGUGCAUGGCCGUUCUUAGUUGGUGGAGUGAUCUGUCUGGUUGAUUCCGAUAACGAACGAGACUCUACCUUACUAACUAGUCGGCGGAUCGUAACCCUGAGAUGGUUAGUUUGUAUAGGAGAGUUUUGAUUAGAUAUUGUUUUUUCUCGAUCGAUGGGUGUUAUCUGGGCUAUAUCCGUUUUAAAGCGGUGAAUACAGUGGCGCCUUUUUGGUUGGGGGACUUUGUCGAAGCUGCUUUCUGAUUACUACUACUACUGCUGGGGGCGUCCGUCGCAAUAUAUCUUCUUAGAAGGAUCAACGGCGUAUAGCCGUACGAGAAAGAGCAAUAACAGGUCUGUGAUGCCCUUAGAUGUUCUGGGCCGCACGCGCGCUACAAUGUAAGGACCAACGUGCUUUCCCCCUCCGAAAGGAGCGGGUAACCAGUUGAAAGCCCUACCCGAUUGGGAUUGGGGAUUGCAAAUAUUUCCCAUAAACGAGGAAUUCCCAGUAAGCGUGAGUCAACAACUCGCGCUGAUUACGUCCCUGCCCUUUGUACACACCGCCCGUCGCUACUACCGAUUGAAUGAUUCAGUGAGGGCAUCGGACUGGCGCCUUCGGUUUUGAAACAUAGACCUUAGGCUGACGGAAAGAUGUCCGAACUCGAUCAUUUAGAGGAAGUAAAAGUCGUAACAAGGUUUCCGUAGGUGAAACCUGCGGAAGGG